GGAGGGUGUAGCUCAGUGGUAGAGUGUGUGCUUAGCAUGCACAAGGUCCUGGGUUCAAUCCCCAGAACCUCCA
rnacentral:tRNA from 1 species